UUGAAUGAAUAGGGGAACUGUUGCUGGCCCGUCAAAGGGCAUGUGCACGCUCCUCAAUUUUCCUUCUCCACCUGUGCACCCUUUGUAGACUUUGGAAGACCCUCUCGAGGCGACUCGGAUGGAGGGUCGCUGAUUCAUUUUCAGCUUCCCUUGCGCUUCCAGGUCUAUGCAUUCUUAUACACGCUUUAAAUGUCUCAGAAUGUCUUUCAUGGCUUGCCGUAAAAAAGCAAAGCUUUAAACUUAAUACAACUUUCAACAACGGAUCUCUUGGCUCUCGCAUCGAUGAAGAACGCAGCGAAAUGCGAUAAGUAAUGUGAAUUGCAGAAUUCAGUGAAUCAUCGAAUCUUUGAACGCACCUUGCGCUCCUUGGUAUUCCGAGGAGCAUGCCUGUUUGAGUGUCAUUAAAUUCUCAACCUCUCCGGCUUUUUUGGCUGGGCGAGGAUUGGAUGUGGGGGUUGUGCUGGCUUCGUCAAAGAGGUCGGCUCCCCUUAAAUGCAUUAGCGGGAACGUCUUGCGGACCGUCACUUGGUGUGAUAAUUAUCUACGCCUCAUGACUGCGAUGCUCUUGUUCUGCUUCUAACCGUCCAUUGACUUGGACAGCUUUUUUGACAAUUUGACCUCAAAUCAGGUAGGACUACCCGCUGAACUUAA
rnacentral:sRNA from 1 species